GACGAACCGUGCGAACGUUAUUCGGAAUCAUUGGGCUUAAAGGGCGCGUAGGCGGUGUGUCGCGUCGGCCGUGAAAACCUGCAGCUUAACUGUGGGCGUGCGGUCGAUACGGGGCAUCACUGGAGUUCGGCAGGGGAGACUGGAAUUCCUGGUGUAGCGGUGAAAUGCGCAGAUAUCAGGAGGAACACCGGUGGCGAAGGCGGGUCUCUGGGCAGUAACUGACGCUGGAGGAGCGAAAGCG
rnacentral:rRNA from 1 species